rnacentral:rRNA from 1 species
AUUGAACGCUGGCGGCAGGCUUAACACAUGCAAGUCGAGCGGGGAUAGGGUGCUUGCACCUGAUUCCUAGCGGCGGACGGGUGAGUAAUGCUUAGGAAUCUGCCUAUUAGUGGGGGACAACGUUCCGAAAGGGACGCUAAUACCGCAUACGUCCUACGGGAGAAAGCAGGGGAUCUUCGGACCUUGCGCUACUAGAAGAGCCUAAGUCGGAUUAGCUAGUUGGUGGGGUAAAGGCCUACCAAGGCGACGAUCUGUAGCGGGUCUGAGAGGAUGAUCCGCCACACUGGGACUGAGACACGGCCCAGACUCCUACGGGAGGCAGCAGUGGGGAAUAUUGGACAAUGGGGGGAACCCUGAUCCAGCCAUGCCGCGUGUGUGAAGAAGGCCUUUUGGUUGUAAAGCACUUUAAGCGAGGAGGAGGCUUACCUGGUUAAUACCCGGGAUAAGUGGACGUUACUCGCAGAAUAAGCACCGGCUAACUCUGUGCCAGCAGCCGCGGUAAGAC